AUUGAACGCUGGCGGCAGGCCUAACACAUGCAAGUCGAGCGGCAGCGGGAAAGUAGCUUGCUACUUUUGCCGGCGAGCGGCGGACGGGUGAGUAAUGCCUGGGGAUCUGCCCAGUCGAGGGGGAUAACUACUGGAAACGGUAGCUAAUACCGCAUACGCCCUACGGGGGAAAGCAGGGGACCUUCGGGCCUUGCGCGAUUGGAUGAACCCAGGUGGGAUUAGCUAGUUGGUGAGGUAAUGGCUCACCAAGGCGACGAUCCCUAGCUGGUCUGAGAGGAUGAUCAGCCACACUGGAACUGAGACACGGUCCAGACUCCUACGGGAGGCAGCAGUGGGGAAUAUUGCACAAUGGGGGAAACCCUGAUGCAGCCAUGCCGCGUGUGUGAAGAAGGCCUUCGGGUUGUAAAGCACUUUCAGCGAGGAGGAAAGGUUGGUAGCGAAUAACUGCCAGCUGUGACGUACUCGCAG
rnacentral:rRNA from 1 species